rnacentral:ribozyme from 1 species
UGAAUGAAAAGAACAAACAGGAACAAAACACGAAAUCUUAUGGUCUGGUUCCGUUCUGCUUCUUGUUUUUCCUUUUGGCUUUUAGUUGAAUUCAUGCUUCCUUCACUUCUUUCAUUUCACUUCAUUCGUGCUUUCAUUACAAUGAAGUGAAAUAGAAAGAAAGAAGGAAGGGAAAGACCCAAAGAA